GAAAUGCGAUAGUUAAUGUGAAUUGCAGAAUUCAGUGAAUCAUCGAGUCUUUGAACGCACAUUGCGCCCCCUGGUAUUCCGGGGGGCAUGCCUGUCCGAGCGUCAUUGCUGCCCUCAAGCACGGCUUGUGUGUUGGGCUUCCGUCCCUGGCAACGGGGACGGGCCCAAAAGGCAGUGGCGGCACCAUGUCUGGUCCUCGAGCGUAUGGGGCUUUGUCACCCGCUCCCGUAGGUCCAGCUGGCAGCUAGCCUCGCAACCAAUCUUUUUAACCAGGUUGACCUCGGAUCAGGUAGGGAUACCCGCUGAACUUAAGC
rnacentral:misc_RNA from 1 species